UUCCCCAGGCACUCAAGGUAUUGAAGCUGCAGGCAGUUUUAAUAAUUUUUUGUUGUUUGUUUUUUGUUUCAUUAAAACUACCUGCGGCUUCAACACCUUAAGUGCCU